GCAGUCCUGGUAGUGGUAGAUGACCAACAACUAUACAUCCGCCGUCCCAGCAGUCGUACGCGCUCAUCCGAGAUCAAGUUUUUCUCGAGUUCCGAACCUCGGAGCGAGCUGCACUUGAAUCCAAGUUGGUUUCCUGGCACGCGGUUCGUCCUGUCGUUUAUUUCCCCCUCGAAGCUUGCGUCCUCCCGUCCUACCAAGGGUCAUUACUUUCUGUCAUUGCCUUUAAUUACAUCAGGUUGCUGCCGCUUGUGGUGGUGGUGGUGGUGGUGGCGGUCGCUGUUGUUGUUAUGCAACGUGACCGCAGCUAUAACGUUCCUUGCGGAAUAUCGGUACCCUACGGGGUCCGCGUUCCAGGACUCGCCUUGUUGGUCCAGGAGGUAUGACCCCACUUUCCUGUAAGGCUCCGUUUCUGAGGAGGCAAGCUGAGGGGGGGAAUCCUGAUCGACUGCUAGGUACUCCGAUUAAUCCAGUUCCAGCUCGCUAAAAUUCCCCGCGCGAGAGACAAGAGUGUGCCGAUCGGCCCAGGGUUAGUUAAUUAAUCUCACUUAACGUAUAUACGGCGCUCUCAGUUCGCGCGCAAUCAAACCUCGACGGAGCCAGGGACGCGAGCACUGAUUGCUGCAGCGUCAGCGCGACUCCUUUCGGAGGUAACGAGUGGGACCACCCAAACACCGAAAUCAUAGCGGGGACGGAUUAUCAUCUGCGAAGAAGUAUCGCGCCGCACGGUACCGCCUCGCGGUUCCAAUGCUGUCCGGGUCAGGAGCCGCAAAACUGCUGUACAAAGCUAAUAUCUGCACUUACUUUACGCAGCACUUCACCUUCAGAUGAUUCCAACCUGAAUCUGACAACCCGCUCUUACCGUCAGCUAUUUAUGGCGUUACUAAGAGGAAUUUUACUUACGCUAUGUCCAUCACAUCGUGAGAAAUUCAGACCAGUACGAGUUGAGACGAAAGGUUUUAGAGAACGGAUAAACGAGAAACUAACUCACCUUCAGAGCGGCAGUGCUCGAUCGAUUUCCUCCAACGGUUAUGGCGUAAACUUCGAUCUCGUACCAAGGAACUCCAGCUUCCCGGUCCAGCGCAGCAGCAGUCGACAGAAUGCCACUCUUCGUGUCCACUUCGAAUAACCUGUCUACCUGUGGACCACCACUUCCCGCGGCAUUUCAUCAUCUUCAAAAGGUACAAUCAGUGUCAAAUAAGUCUCCGAGGACCUCCUCUCGGCCUGCACUGCCUCGUCAGUUGCUCGCACACCAACCUGAUAUUUCGAAGUGCGUUCAAAGUCAUCCAAUGAUCUUGGAAGUCUCAUGAAAAUUUGCACCGACACGCGACGUUCGUUGCUGCAGCGUUCGAAAGGGUUCGAGACAAAAGGGAGAUGGCUAUUGUCGUCACAUGUUUCACUGCAAGUUUAGUUCGUAGGUAAUUCAGCUUCGUUCGGGUAACGUGAGAAAUAACUUUGGCGUAGGUACGUUGUACAUAUGGAUACAAGGUUCUUGUACGAAGGUUAAUGGAAGGUCGAUACAGCGAUGCUUGCCUGAAAAUUCCAUCGCAAUUUGGGCUUUCCUAUAACGCGGUACAAGCUGCGUGUCCACCUUCUUCUUCAAUAUUGUAAACGGUUAUUUACUUUUUCUUUUCUUUUUAACGACAAAUAUUCAUGAAUAAUGUACCAAGGUAGGCCAACCAAGAGCACGAAUAUUUUCAUUUCAUUGUUCGGUAGGUAGAUCUAUACCGGUAUAAUAACAUAUAACAGCCAAGAGAAAGAUUCGAUAAAAUUCGCUGAUCGCGGUGAGUUCCGAACGAGGCUACCUAAUACCGUUAAUUGUUAGUUGACCUCAAGAUUAUUACGUGUCUGAGCUGAGUAAUUACUUUGCUCAUCAAUUAAGACCAUCCUUAGCACUCACGAAAAUAUAUUUUCUCACAUUCUCUUUCCAUUAGUCAAAAAUUUACAUGGCAUGAAACCUUUAUCGAAUUAACCGCAUGCGGACAUUCACGUCUACACAUUGCGGAUACUCUUUUUUUGUUCAGUGAUUUUUGAUUUAUUGCUCAGCUUCGUUCGCCUUUCAUUUAACUGUCUCAAGUUUCAAGCAUAACUAUCAUAAUUGUACCGGUAGCUCUCCCAAGACUGGAGCCAAGAUCCGCAAUAAAAGAUUAAUUUGUGUCUAGCUACAAUAUUUCACAAAAAAAAUUUACCACCAACUGUCAUUGCAUAUGAAAAACAAUUUGCGAUGCGAAUAACAGUGCUGAUAAUCAACGCUGAUUGUGCAUUCGCAACGGAUGAAUGUCCCAU